UACGUAGGUGGCAAGCGUUGUCCGGAUUUACUGGGUGUAAAGGGCGUGCAGCCGGGCUGACAAGUCAGAUGUGAAAUCCCGCGGCUCAACCGCGGAACUGCAUUUGAAACUGUCAGUCUUGAGUACCGGAGAGGUCAUCGGAAUUCCUUGUGUAGCGGUGGAAUGCGUAGAUAUAAGGAAGAACACCAGUGGCGAAGGCGGAUGGCUGGACGGCAACUGACGGUGAGGCGCGAAAGCGUGGGGAGCAAACAGG
rnacentral:rRNA from 1 species